rnacentral:lncRNA from 10 species
AGGACCCACAUGUUACUUCCAACCAGCCCUAAGCUGAACUAUCUUUUGGCCAUUUUUAAGUUGGAUUGUUCUUUUUGCUAUUGUUUGAGCUCCUUAUAUAUUCUGGUUACGAAUCCCUUGUUAAGAUAGUUUGCAAAUAAAGCAUCCUCAUCUUUCAAACUAUACAUUGUCACUCUCUGUGUUCCCUUCCCUGCCUGACCCUUUUCCCUUUCUGGCCUCUCUGUACAUAGUGUUUACUCUUCUACUGUAGCACCCCUAAUACUUCCUGGUACUUAUGUACUUAUUUGUCUCCUCCUACUAGACUGUAUGCUCAAAAUUUAUUAAUCUUUAUAUCCCCAAGGCUUACCCCAGUACUUAGCACAAAACAGGUGCUUAGUAAAUGAUGGUGACUGGCUUGAGGGCAGAGAUGGUGUCUUAUUUAUCUAUCCUUGUAUGUUGUGUUUAGUAUGGUGGCUGGCAAUUGUUUGACACUCAAGUGUUUAAACAAUUAGAAAACACAUUGGUGAGAGAAAACUGAAGAUAUUAUAAAACAUCUAACUGCUUUAAAUGAAUUAAAGCUGCUGGGACAAAUUAUAUCCGUGAUACUGAGAGAGAGAAUUUAGCGUUGCCAGUUUUAAGGAACCAUGGAGAAGAGGAAGGCGCUAAUUUACUGUGUGCUUACCAUAUGCCAGGCAUUGAGCUAGCUGUUCUACAUACACAGUUUCAGAUGUGUUAGAAGCCUGGAGCUGGCAAAUGUGGCUUCAGUCCACAGAUUCUAGUGUGACUGCUUGGGACAAUCCACCUGCUAACCCUGAAAAUAAUUUUUUCUUCUACUCUGUGAUAGUCUUUCACAUUCCCUACACUGUGUGUGUUAAAAAUUACAGUUCAUCAGCCUGGGCAACACAGGGAGGCCCUGUCUCUACAAAAAAAUAAAUAAAUAAAUAAAAAAUAGCUGGGUAUGUGUGGUGCAUGCCUGUAGUCCCAGCUACUCCAGAGGCUGAGGUGGAAGGACUGCUUGAGCUCAGGAGGUCAAGGCUGUAGGGAGCUGUGAUUGCGCUAUUACACCCCAGCCUGAGUGACAGAGUGAGAUCCUGUCUCAACAAC